rnacentral:miRNA from 11 species
AGUGGUUAGUUGCACUCCACA